rnacentral:rRNA from 1 species
UACGUAGGGGGCUAGCGUUGUCCGGAAUCAUUGGGCGUAAAGAGCGUGUAGGCGGCCCGGUAAGUCCGCUGUGAAAGUCGGGGGCUCAACCCUCGAAUGCCGGUGGAUACUGUCGGGCUAGAGUGCGGAAGAGGCGAGUGGAAUUCCUGGUGUAGCGGUGAAAUGCGCAGAUAUCAGGAGGAACACCGAUUGCGAAGGCAGGUCGCUGGGACGUCACUGACGCUGAGACGCGAAAGCGUGGGGAGCAAACAGG